rnacentral:rRNA from 1 species
GCCUGGUGCUUGCACCGGGUGGAUGAGUGGCGAACGGGUGAGUAACACGUGAGUAACCUGCCCCCGACUUCGGGAUAAGCCCGGGAAACUGGGUCUAAUACCGGAUAUGACCAACGCUCGCAUGAGUGUUGGUGGAAAGUUUUUUCGGUUGGGGAUGGGCUCGCGGCCUAUCAGUUUGUUGGUGAGGUAAUGGCUCACCAAGACGACGACGGGUAGCCGGCCUGAGAGGGCGACCGGCCACACUGGGACUGAGACACGGCCCAGACUCCUACGGGAGGCAGCAGUGGGGAAUAUUGCACAAUGGGGGAAACCCUGAUGCAGCGACGCAGCGUGCGGGAUGACGGCCUUCGGGUUGUAAACCGCUUUCAGCAGGGAAGAAGCCUUUAUCGGUGACGGUACCUGCAGAAGAAGUACCGGCUAACUACGUGCCAGCAGCCGCGGUAAUACGUAGGGUACAAGCGUUGUCCGGAAUUAUUGGGCGUAAAGAGCUCGUAGGUGGUUGGUC